rnacentral:tRNA from 1 species
UCCCUGGUAGCUCAGACGGUAAAGCGUCUGCUUACAAUGCGGGAAAUCUGGGUUCAAUCCCUGGAUCGGGAA